CGCGAAUGGCUCAUUAUAACAGCUAUAAUUUACUUGAUCUUGACACAAUCCUACUUGGAUAACUGUGGUAAUUCUAGAGCUAAUACAUGCAUUAAAGCUCUGACCUCACGGGAAGAGUGCACUUAUUAGAACAAAACCAAGCGGCUUCGGCUGUUUUCGGUUGACUCAUAGUAACUGAGCUGAUCGCACGGUCUUGCACCGGCGACGUGUCUUUCAAGUAUCUGCCGUAUCAACUUUCGAUGGUAGUGUAUCUGACUACCAUGGUGAUCACGCGUAACGGAGAAUAAGGGUUCGGCUCCGGAGAGUUCGCCUGAGAAAUCGCGAACACAUCUAAGGAAGGCAGCAGGCGCGAAAAUUACCCACUCUCAGCACGAGGAGGUAGUGACGAAAAAUAACGAGACCGUUCUCUUAUGAGGCCGGUCAUCGGAAUGGGUACAAUUUAAACCCUUUAACGAGUAUCUAUGAGAGGGCAAGUCUGGUGCCAGCAGCCGCGGUAAUUCCAGCU
rnacentral:rRNA from 1 species